AGUGAACGCUGGCGGUAGGCCUAACACAUGCAAGUCGAACGGCAGCACAGUAAGAGCUUGCUCUUACGGGUGGCGAGUGGCGGACGGGUGAGGAAUACAUCGGAAUCUACUUUUUCGUGGGGGAUAACGUAGGGAAACUUACGCUAAUACCGCAUACGACCUACGGGUGAAAGCAGGGGAUCUUCGGACCUUGCGCGAUUGAAUGAGCCGAUGUCGGAUUAGCUAGUUGGCGGGGUAAAGGCCCACCAAGGCGACGAUCCGUAGCUGGUCUGAGAGGAUGAUCAGCCACACUGGAACUGAGACACGGUCCAGACUCCUACGGGAGGCAGCAGUGGGGAAUAUUGGACAAUGGGCGCAAGCCUGAUCCAGCCAUACCGCGCGGGUGAAGAAGGCCUUCGGGUUGUAAAGCCCUUUUGUUGGGAAAGAAAAGCAGCAGGCUAAUACCCCGCUGUUCUGACGGUACCCAAAGAAUAAGCACCGGCUAACUUCGUG
rnacentral:rRNA from 1 species